GACGAACGCUGGCGGCGUGCCUAAUACAUGCAAGUCGAGCGGACGAAUCGAAAGCUUGCCUUUGAUUCGUUAGCGGCGGACGGGUGAGUAACACGUGGGCAACCUGCCCUGUAGACGGGGAUAACACCGAGAAAUCGGUGCUAAUACCGGAUAACACGAAAUGUCGCAUGACGUUUCGUUGAAAGACGGCGCAAGCUGUCGCUACAGGAUGGGCCCGCGGCGCAUUAGCUAGUUGGUGAGGUAACGGCUCACCAAGGCGACGAUGCGUAGCCGACCUGAGAGGGUGAUCGGCCACACUGGGACUGAGACACGGCCCAGACUCCUACGGGAGGCAGCAGUAAGGAAUCUUCCGCAAUGGACGAAAGUCUGACGGAGCAACGCCGCGUGAGCGAAGAAGGCCUUCGGGUCGUAAAGCUCUGUUGUUAGGGAAGAACAAGUAACGCAGUAACUGGCGUUACCGUGACGGUACCUAACGAGAAAGCCACGGCUAACUACGUG
rnacentral:rRNA from 1 species